GACGAACGCUGGCGGCGUGCUUAACACAUGCAAGUCGAAAGAAGUGGCGAAAGGGUGAGUAACGCGUAAUCAACCUGCCCUUCAGAGGGGGACAAAAGGGGGAAAAGACUGCUAAUACCGAAUAAGGAAGGAGGGGAGUGCGUCUGAUUAGCUAGUUGGAGGGGUAACGGCCCACCAAGGCGAUGAUCAGUAGCCGGUCGGAGAGGAUGAACGGCCACAUUGGGACUGAGACACGGCCCAGACUCCUACGGGAGGCAGCAGUGGGGAAUCUUCCGCAAGGGACGAAAGUCUGACGGAGCAACGCCGCGUGAGUGAUGACGGCCUUCGGGUUGUAAAGCUCUGUUAAUCGGGACGCGGUACCGGAAUAGAAAGCCACGGCUAACUACGUGCCAGCCGCCGCGGUAAUAC
rnacentral:rRNA from 1 species